CCUGGCAGCCAGCCACAGUGUUGCCCACCCCCUUGGCCAAUGAUUUAGUUCUCUGACCAGAGUAAACAGUACGGGGCCGGGGGCAGCCCAGGCCCCUUCGGUCAACCCUCCCACGAGAAAGCUGACCACGAGUCAUGUGGGGGCGGGCAGAGAGGAAAUGGGGAGCUGUGGCUCGCUCGCUCCACUUACUGCAACCUGUUGAUCUACCAGCCUUUUCUUUUUUUUCUGGUAACGUAUACAUAAUAUACCUAACACAAAAUUUACCAUGUCAACUAUUUUUUUUUUAAGUGUAUAAGGCAGUGGCCUUAAUCACACUCUUGUGCAACCAUCACCACCAGCCGCCUCCGGCACUUUUUUAUCGCCCUAAACUCUGCCCCUGUUCAAUGAUAACACCCAUUCCCCGCCCCUUGUUGGGUCUAUUCUACUUCCUGGCUCUGUCAAAUGGACUGUUCUAGGUGCCUCGUGUACGUGAAAACCGACCAGAUUUGUCCCGGCUUAACGAAGGCCCCACAUAAUGUCUUGGAGGUUUAGCCAUGUUAUAGUGCCUGUCAGACUCUCAUUCCUUCUCAAGGUUGAAUGUCCCAUGUCACAGGCCUUGGGACAACCUGCUGCCACCUGCUCGGCUGACUUAUCUUACCUGCAAGAGGACGAGAUUCUGGGAGUAGAUAACGUACUGGAAGGAGAUGGCACAACACUGAAGAAAAUAAAAAAGAAACAGUACCAUUCUGCCUCCAAAUGGACUGUCUCCUCCAGUCCUCAGGUUCUGGGGUGCAGCAGAGAAGACAGCAGAGGACCCCCAUCCCUCCAGAGCUGCCAUCACGCAGUGAGAUAAACGACACCUCGCACGGGAAGGUGGCAACUUACAAGUGUUGCCCAAUAGGCUAAGUUGUGGCGUCCCCAUCAUCAUACGUGGAAGGACUCCGGUUCAGCAUUCAGCAGUGCGCCUGCCCGUAGAAGCUGGGAACGCUUGCUUAGAGAAGCCGUGCGGUCCCUGUGCGUGGAGUGGGUCACGUGUGAGUCAAUUAUGGUCUUUGUCCAGACGUGACAGAAGAUAUUUGGAAGGACCACUUGGGCAAAGGCUCAUUAGACUUCAGGAAGUUAACGUUCAAACUCAAACCACAUGCUGCCAUGAGAGAACAGAAGCUGCUGCCCGCCACCACCACAGUGAAAGGCACAGUACUCCAAGGUCACAGGGCAGGGUGGUCAGAGCCGUGUCUGGGACUUGGAGAUGAUGGCCAGGGCUGACUCGCACAGACCACUGUGCACCUGACACUAUUACAGGGACACGUAGGCAUCAGCUCACUGUGACUCACCCGGAGGUGGGUAGAGCCAUGCUCCCCAAAGAGCAAAAACCUAGGCGCAGGGGUGUGAAGUGACCCAUUUUGGAUUCCAAGCAACAACACGGCAAAACCCAAAGCCAGACUUCCUGAGUUGGCAGCCCAGCUCUGGCCUAGACCUACUGUGUGGCUUCAGGCAAACGACCCAGCCUCGCUGAAUCAGCUUCCUCAUGUACAAAGUGAACACAGCAGGUGCACUUGCCCACUGGGCACUGGUGGACGAUCAGGCAAACCAUGGGCCCAGCGCGAUGCUGAGAACCCAGCAAAUGCCUGUGGAUUUAUGAAGCUGCUGGGCAAAUGAGGCCCAACUGAGAGGUCACCCCUAAACAAGACCUUGUUUCUCGGAGCUGCUCAACUCCACUCUACUCGGGACGCCUUUGCUCCCCCUUGGUACUGUUGCUACUUUACGUAACCAACCCUUAUGUAGAACUUCCUGUAUGUUUGAUGAUGUUUAACAAACAAGAACUCCCUUUAAUCUACCAUCGUCCCCAUCAUAGAUGACGAAACCUGGGCACGGAAGGCUGAGGACAUUCCCAAGGUCACGCUGCUGGGCAGCGGUGAACCAGGGCUUGAAUCCAGGCAGUCUGGCUGCCGAGCGUCGUUGCCAUGGUACUGCCCCCCUGGUUCCCAGGGGUUCGUGCGCCUCCCACACUCAAUGGUGGGCUCCUGGGGGUAGCACCUCAAUGAUUCAUGCUGAUUCCCCAGCUCCUCACACAGAGCCUGGCCCAGAAUACUUGCAGAAUGUAUUUGUUCAACGAAUGGAUCAAUGACCAUAAUUAAUCAGUGGAGACUUUCACACUCUGCGAGGUGUUCAAAUUUCACAGACAGACGACAAAAUCAGACAGCAUUUUCCCCGUAUUCCUCUGUGCAAAAAUUCUCACUGGCUGUUCCGUUUCUCCCUAAUGCAGUCGUCAGACUGAAGGUCCCAGAAUUUAUUUCUACUCUUUCUCUGA